GAUCAUGGCUCAGGAUGAACGCUAGCUACAGGCUUAACACAUGCAAGUCGGAGGGGCAGCAUUUUUAGUUUGCUUGCAAACUAAAGAUGGCGACCGGCGCACGGGUGAGUAACACGUAUCCAACCUGCCGAUAACUCAGGGAUAGCCUUUCGAAAGAAAGAUUAAUACCUGAUGGCAUAGGAUUAUCGCAUGAUGAUCCUAUUAAAGAAUUUCGGUUAUCGAUGGGGAUGCGUU
rnacentral:rRNA from 1 species